UACGUAGGUGGCAAGCGUUGUCCGGAUUUACUGGGUGUAAAGGGCGUGCAGCCGGGCUGACAAGUCAGAUGUGAAAUCCCGCGGCUCAACCGCGGAACUGCAUUUGAAACUGUCAGUCUUGAGUACCGGAGAGGUCAUCGGAAUUCCUUGUGUAGCGGUGAAAUGCGUAGAUAUAAGGAAGAACACCAGUGGCGAAGGCGGAUGACUGGGCGGCAACUGACGGUGAGGCGCGAAAGCGUGGGGAGCAAACAGG
rnacentral:rRNA from 1 species